AUGCAUCGAUGGUGCUCGAAGGCAGCAGCAGGGCAGAAGGAAGACGAGGUCAGCCGGCGGCACCAGAACGUGGCGGAGCUGCUGGAGCUCGCCGGAGUAGCUGCAGGGGAGGCAUGGCGGCGCUCGGUGGCCAGCAGGAGGAAGAGCAGAGGAGGUCGGCGCUGGGAGGAGGUUGAGGAUGGCAGGGGCGCGCGCGAGGAGGACGCAGGCGAAGACGUGGUGGAGAUCACCGGCGCGGGCGAAGGCAGCGGCAGCAGGGCACGGCGUGAGGGUGCAAAAGCUGCUGCUGCUGCCGGCGGCGAGGUCGAGGCAGGAUCCGGGCAGCAGAGGGACACCGGCAGGAGGAAGGAGAGUCCGGCGUGGUCGCGCAUGCAGGCCGGCAUCCUGCUGGUGGUCGGCCGCGCAGCGCCAUGGCCGAAGGCCAAGGUCAGGGUCUGA
rnacentral:rRNA from 1 species